rnacentral:rRNA from 1 species
UAGGGAAUCUUCCACAAUGGAACGAAAGUCUGAUGGAGCAACGCCGCGUGAGUGAAGAAGGGUUUCGGCUCGUAAAGCUCUGUUGGUAGUGAAGAAAGAUAGAGGUAGUAACUGGCCUUUAUUUGACGGUAAUUACUUAGAAAGUCACGGCUAACUACGUGCC